rnacentral:lncRNA from 1 species
CUAAAAGUUCAUCUGUUAGUGGAACUCAGAUUAUAUUACUUUGUAAAUAAAAAUGUGUGGAUCUCAGGUCAAGCAAUAAAAAUACAUUUAGAGGUGCAAUUGGAAUGCUAAAAGCAGUUUUUGUUCAUUUAUGAAAUAGUUCAGUUUCAUAAUGUCAGGAAAAAUUAACUUGCUCGUUGCCCUUCUCUUUGGAGUGCUGGUGGUGGUAUGUCAGUCAUGGCAAAUAAAAACAGGAUGAAUUGUUUCAUAUUGUUCUAAUUGUCUCAGCAGGCAUCACUAAUCUCUGUCAGUAGAGUAUUAGUCUGUAUUGUAUAUAAGUGCUAGUAACUGAGGACCAAAAUAAUUGCGUAUGUUCUAGAAGUUUAUUAAAGUAAAAAUUCCAUUUUGAAACAAACAGGAAAAUGCCUUUAUUGGAUUCUUCCUAAAUGUUACCCAAGUGACAUUCUUUUAACAUCUGCCUAAAAUUAAGAUUAGAAAUAAAAAUUUUAUUUGGUAACUAAACCUUAGAUGAGAAAAUAAUUUUACCUAUAUUGGUAGGUAAGUAGUCAUUUACUAUAAGGUAAAAUUGAGAAUGGUAUUAAUGUGGCAAGAUUACAUUGAUAUCUUAAUAAUGCUCAAACAGAAAAGCUCUUUUUUUUUCUUUUUUGAGAUGGAGUCUCACUCUGUCACCCAGACUGGAGUGCAGUGGCAUGAUCUCAGCUCAAUGCAACCUCCACCUCCCAGAUUCAAGUGAUUCUUAUGCCUCAGCCUCCUGAGUAGCUGGAAUUACAGGCAUCUGCCACCACGUCCGGCUAAUUUUUAUAGUUUUAGUAGAGACGGGGUUUCACCAUGUUGGCCAGGAUGGUCUUGAACUCCUGACCUCAAGUAAUCUGCCCACCUAGGCCUCCCAAAGUGCUGGGAUUACAGGCAUGAGCAACCAUGCCCAGCCAGAAAAGCUUUUAAAAGAUAAUUCUAAUUGCUUAUGUCAGUCAAGUCACUAAUUUUUUUGAUUUUUAUUUUAGAUACAAAAGUUUUGCAGUACUAUUUCAAUCUAGGAUUGCAGUGCUAUUACCACAACUACUGGCACUCCAUGGUCUAUGUGCCACAGAUGCAGCAGCAGCUUCAUGUAGAGAAUUAUCCAGUCUAUACUGAGCCACCUCUGGUAGAUCCAACCGUUCCUCAAUUCUACAGUGAGGUGAGGAGAGAAGAUGGCACACAGGCGGAAGCAUCAGCAAAUGAUACUUUAACGAAUGCUGAUCCUUCAUCUGUCCCUCAUGGAGCAGUCUAUUAUCCAGUAAUGUCAGAUCCCUAUGGGCAGCCACCUUUGCCAGGUUUUGACUCCUGCCUCCCAGUUGUGCCAGAUUAUUCCUGUGUUCCCCCCUGGCAUCCAGUUGGUACAGCAUGUGGUGGUUCUUCUCAAAUUCAUGGUGCUAUAAAUCCUGGGCCAAUUGGCUAUCUUGCUCCAUCUCCCCCAGCUUCUCACUAUGUACCUCAGGACUUAAUCUUGUAUCUCUGAAGGCCUGGCUUGUCUUUGGCUUGCUGUGAGAUACAUUUCAUCAUCCUUUUUUGCCUUCUCCCUUUCAUCUAUCUGAAGACCACAAGAUGUCCUGUGUUGAUCAGUUCUUCUCUGAGGGGAAAAUCAUCCUGAAUGCUUUGUUCUGUCUCACCUGACAAACAGCUAUUUAAAAAGUGUUCUUUGGUUGCCACAAAACCUAUUUAUAUCACUUUCUUAAAAGGUUAUUUAUGUUUGUGAAUCAGUCUCUCCUUUCCCCCUGUGGCUACACCCUGGCCAAAAAGAACAAUUUGAGACAUCAGGGCUUGAAGUACUUGAACAGUUGAAGGUACUGGAGUGGAACAUUGCAAAGAAGAUGUAUCUUCAAUGUACUGUUCUCAAGAUGAUUGAUAUUGAUGAGUUCUGAAUAAGCCAAUGUAGUAAAGGGUUCUGCUUCAUAAUAGUACUGAUUGGAUUUGUUUUUGUAUCCUUGAUUUUAAGAAGGCCUUGCACUACAAGUUAGCAUCUGACAACUUAAGGUGGAUGGCAGUGCACUAAUGUUUUAUAACAACCAACUGUGUGUAUUAGUGUUUUAACUUCUCUGCUAACCUCCUGGGUUCUCAGUUUAUGCAGCCUGCAAAUUGUGUUUUGCAUAAAGGUUUAUUUUAGUCAAGCUUAUAACAUGGAAUAGCCCCUUCCCAACAUUUUUUGAAUGUGCAAACAUUUCUGAAGUAUACAUAAUUCACAGAAAGUGAUUGUCCUCUGUCUUCAGCUGUCAGUGGUUCACUAGCUUCUAAGGGGUGUUUUAGAAGAUUGUAGUCUUGAGAAUAUCGGUUUGGAAUUUGGCGGGUGUUGAGACAACCACAUCUGCCUUAGAUUUCCAGUAGAUUUUUUUUUUUAUUUCAAACUUACAUAUGCUGCCUUGCCUUGUGCUCUAUUACCAAUUAAUGAAAUUUAAUCAUGAUUGGCAUUAACGUAACCUGGAAGCAAUGUGUGUACUAGAUUGUGAACUAUCAAUUGAGGUCAGUGUUUAUGGCCUGCUUAAAUCAUACAAGUUCUCUUUGUUUAUGUAUUACAAUCAGUCUUCUCUAAGAAAUAAUCAAGGGAGUGAGUCCUGGCCUUCAUAUUGUUGGGGUAGAGGUGAGGGUAACCUGUACUGCUGCAGAAGUCUUUAGUCUUUCUUGGAGGCAGCUGCCAGGUAAAAAGGAAGUGGUUUUUGUGAUGAAAACCAAAACAAAACCCUAACACUUAAUCACCAUAUAGGAUAAACAUAGUGGUAGACUUCUCCUUUUUACAGAUUACCUCUUAAGUUGCUCUUGUUACAAAAGGUAUCCUGUCUUUUCUCUGCUUUUAACCAAAUUUCAUCCAUUUAGAAUUGUUUAGGGAAGGAAAUAUAAAGGCACUGUAGUUUGUUUGGAACCCUUUACUUACAGCCCCUUCUUGACAUGAAUCUGGUUACGCUAAAGGUAAAUAGCUGGAUAAUUUCUCAUAGCCAGGAAAAAUAAUUAAAUUCAUUUGUAUGCUGUAUAUAUUCUCAAAACUGAU